AUACUCUGGUUUCUCUUCAGAUCGUAUAAAUCUUUCGCCUUUUACUAAAGAUUUCCGUGGAGAGGAACAAUUCUGAGUCUAAACCCAAUUUUUUGAAGCCUUGCUUUUUUUUUUAGCAGGGCU
rnacentral:snRNA from 2 species